UUUUAGAUCAGUUGCUUUACAAACUUUUUUUGUGCAUACAAAACUCUUCUCUGAAUGUCCUUCCAAAAGCAAGCUGUCAUCUUUCUUGCCUCUGAUGUUUAAAGCGACAUUAGGUUAAGGCUACUUGGAUUUAUUCUGUGCAUGGUGGGGAGAGGGAGGCGCCAGCACCAUCCCAUCCCGUGCUGGGUUCCUGAGAGAAGCUUUGCUGCGGACACAGGCAGGAGCGCCCCAUCAUUUGACGGUGAGCAGGACUCAGGCUGUGUGUCCUGGAGCUACUUCUCACCAACUGUGGUCAGUGCAGGGGGAACGAGGAGGUCUUUUGGGGGCCUGGCGAGGGGAAGGGCUGCUGCAGUCUAUCUAUCAGAGCAGAGCCGGGGGCACGGGCACAGGUGGGAGUUGGGAGCAAAGCGGAGGCCCGGGCUGCCCGCCGUCCCCCUUCAUCUCCCCACGGACUGUACGCACGAUGAGGAGCAGGCGGAUGAUGUAACGUUGCUCCUGUGGCACGGUGUAGGAGCGCAGGUGCAGAUAGAUCUGGGCGCAGGAGGGGUCGCAUGAGAGCCGGGCCCGCCUGGUACCCCUGGACCAGCCCAGGUGAGCCGGGAAGGAGGUGGGGGUGGGUGCAGGAGGGUUUGGGUGAGAGCCAGGUCCACCCGGUACCCCUGCACAAGCCCAGGUGAGCCGGGAAGGAGGUGGGGGUGGGCGCAGGAGGGUUCGCGUGAGAGCCGGGCCCGCCCUGGGCGCAGGAGGGUUCGCGUGAGAGCCGGGUCCACCCGGUACCCCUGCACCAGCCCAGGUGAGCCGGGAAGGAGGUGGGGGUGGGCGCAGGAGGGUUCGGGUGAGAGCCAGGUCCGCCUGGUACCCCUGCACAAGCCCAGGUGAGCCGGGAAGGAGGUGGGGGUGGGCGCAGGAGGGUUCGGGUGAGAGCCGGGUCCGCCUGGUACCCCUGCACAAGCCCAGGUGAGCCGGGAAGGAGGUGGGGGUGGGUGCAGGCCACCAGGCACCUUCUAUGUUUGCAUUUUCUAGUUUUCUACAAUGGGCAUCCUUAUUACAAUUAGAGAAAAUAAAUUGUUUGCCUAUUGUAAUUAGAUACAUACUUUUAUACGUAUUUACUAUAGAAGUACAUAUAAGUAUGAAUGUAUAUGUUAAAUACAUAUUUCUGGUUACAACUAAAAAUAAUACACAUUUGAAUAAUUGACUUUUUAUGGCCGGGUGCAGUGGCUCACACCUAUAAUCCCAGCACUUUGGGAGGCCGAGGUGGGUGGAUCAUUUGAGGUCAGGAGUUCAAGACCAGCCUGGCCAACAUGGUGAAACACAGUCUCUACUAAAUACACAAAAAUUAGCCAGGCAUGGUGGCGCGCGCCUGUAAUCCCAGCUACUAGAGAGGCUGAGGCAGGAGAAUCGCUUGAGCCUGGGAGGUGGAGGUUGCGGUGAACCAAGAUUGCGCCACUGCACUCCAGCCUGGGCGACAGAGCGAGACCCUUUCUCAAAAAAAAAAAAAUAUUUUUUUGAGAAACAUGGUCUCGCUCUCUUGCCCAGGUUUUUUUUGAGACAGGGUCUCGCUCUGUCGCCCAGACUGGAGUGCAGUGGUACAAUCAUGGCUCACUGCAGCCUUGAACUCCCGGGCUCGAGUGAUCUGCCUACCUCAGCCUGCUGAGUAUUGGGACUACAGGUGUGCACCACCUUGCCUGGCUAAUUUUUGUAUUUUUUGUACAGACAGGGUCUCACUGUGUUGCCCAGGCUGGUCUCAAAGUCCUAGGCUCAAGGGAUCCUCCUGCCUCCGUCUCCCAAAGUGCUGGGACUAUAGUCAUGAGCCACUGCACCUGGCCUAAAAUUUAUUUUUUAAAUUGGCAAAUCAAAAUUGUAUGCAUUUACAGUGUGCAGCGCGAUGUCUGAUAUGUGUGUUCGUGGGGAAUGGCUGAGUCAAACCCAUUAACGUCUCCAUUAUCUCCCAUACUUAGCAUUUCUUUGCGGGGAGGACAUGUAAAAUGUACUCUCUUGGCAAUUUUCAAGCAUAGAAUACAUUGUUAUUUAUAACAGUCACCAUGUUGUACAAUAGGUUUUUUUUUUUUUUUUUUCUGAAUAAGUUCCUUGGGCAUGAGUGAGGGUCCUGUUUGUUCUUAGCCUGGGAAUGGGAACGCUCACUCAUUCCUUCAUUCAGCAGGCGUUUCUAGAGCCCAGCUAAGUGUCCAACCCGGGGGACGGAGAGGGGACACGUCCCGGUCCUGGGCUGGGCAGACUCUCAGAAGGCACAUUGGCUUUUGCUGUGGGGGCAUCCAAAGGAUGUGCACCCUUUGAUUCCUAAGAAUUUGUCCCUCCCUAGGGGCCAGGCACGGUGGCCCACGCCUGUAAUCUUAGCACUUUGGGAGGCCAAGGUGGGCGGAUUACCUGAGCUCAGGAGUUCGAGACCGGCCUGGUCAACAGGGCGAACUCCAUCUCUACUAAAAAAUACAAAAAUUAGCCAGGCGUGGUGGCGGGCGCCUGCAGUCCCAGCUACUCGGGAGGCUGAGGUGGGAGGAUGGCUUAAAUCCGGGAAGCGGAGGCUGCAGUGAGCACUGAUUGUGCCACCGGACUGCAGCCUGGGUCACAGAGUGAGAUCCUGCCUAAAAAAAAAGAAAGCCUGGGAAAAAGUAUGGGUGAUUAUAGUAGUGUUUGCCUUUAAACCUUUCUAGAUUUUCCACGUUUUUAUUUUUUUUAAUUUUUAAUUAUUAUUUUUUUUAUUGAGACGGAGUCUUGCUCUGUUGCCCAGGCUGGGGUGCAGUGGCGCAAUCUCAACUCACUGCAACCUCCGCCUCCCGGGUUCAAGUGAUUCUCCUGCCUCAGCCUCCUGAGUAGCUGGGAUUAUAGGCGCGCACCACCAUGCCCGGCUAAUUUUUGUAUUUUUAGUAGAGACAGAGUUUCCCCAUGUUGGCCAGGCUGGUCUCAAACUCUUGACCUCGGGUGAUCCACCCGCCUUGGCCUCCCACAAUGCUGGGAUUACAGGUGUGAGACACCACGCCUGACCGAUUUUCCAUGUUUUCUGUGAGGAUACAACUCAACUACAGGGUCUUUGAGACAGGGUCAGCCGAGCCUGGGAGCUGGGCGCACAGGGGCUCCUGGGGAAGGCCUUCUGGAGGAGGUGCAUGCGUGGCGGUGGGCGAGCAGAGGCUACGUGCACCUGGCCGCUUGGGGUGCAGCUCAGGGAGUUGGGGGAGGUUGGAGGCAGGAACAGACUCUUAUCAGUCACACGCUCCCCGAUGGUCCCUGGGAGGGACGGCAUGACCAGCCAUCAGGAGACCUCUCCCGGGGCUGGCGCUGCCUGGCUGGGUGACCUUGACAAGCCACUGUCCUCUCCGGCCUCGGUCCUCCCAUGUAUAAAGUGAGGGGGAUCCAGCCACUCUGUGUCCUGCCUGGGACUCCUCACUCAAGGGUGACUCUGGCGGUGGGCUCAGGGGUGGGACAGGGCCUGAACUCCAGCCCAAGGGGUCUCCAUGAGCCCUGUCUUGACUGCGAGGCCCCAUGAAGCUAAAGCCACACUACAGCCGCGCACACACAGCCGGUUCCCAGGAUUACAGCGGAAAGACGGCCUCCUCCGGGAAGCCCUCUCUGAUGGCCUUACAGGAAGGGCCUGCCUCGGCACUGCCUCCGCGGCUCUGCACACUCCAGGCCACACUCAUACACGUCUACCGUGGGUUCUGGUUAUCUGUUCACAGCUCACUGCAACCUUGAACUGGGCUCAAGCGAUCCUCCCAUCUCAGCCUCCCAAGUAGCUGGGACUAACAGUGCAGGCCCCCAUGCCCGGCUAAUAAGCAGUUAAUAAACUGUCACUGAGAUGCUCCCUCGGAGACUUGUGGCCACCGGUGUCCCUGCCUGCCAGUCUCCUGAUGGCCCCCUGCCCCAGCUCACCUACAGAUCCAUUCCCUACACCAGUGCCCCGUGCACCCGGGAAGCAGCUCUGCCCUCAGCCCAGCCCUCCACAGCCUUCCUGGGCUCCCAGCACCCCCUGAAAGCCACCUCACCGCACUGGGGUCAAGGGCUCUGGACAAAUCCCUGCAGCCGUGUGGCCCUCGCGGGCCUACACACGCACUCCCACCCCACCCCUGCGCACACCGCCCUGGCCUCUCUGUGUAUCUGAGUCUCUCAGGAGGGUCCUGUCCCUGACUCCCUGCCCUCUCUGCCCAGCCCCUGCCCUCGGGCACCACUUCCUCCUUGCCCCUGCCUGGCCCUUCCUUGCCACAGCGCCUGGCCGCUUCUCUACCUGGGGGCUGUUCUGUUCCCACCUGGGGACUGCUCCGGGUCGGGGGCUGUGUGUGGCUUCGGGCUUGGGGAAGUUGCUUCUCGCCCAUCUCCUGCACAGGAGUCCCGGUCCCUCUAACAAGCUGUGACCUUUGCUCCCCAGCUCCCUACAGAGCAAAGUCCAACCCCCUGCCAACCUCCCACCAGCCUUCUCCAGGGUGUCACGCCUCUGGAAGGAGAAGGCCCCUUCCCCUUUCCAGCUAUGUGAGCCUGGGAAAGACCUCUGGUCUCUCUGAGACUCAGUCUUCUUGUCUGUGAAAUGGGACCACACUGCAGACCUCAGUGAGCCGAGUGACGAGCCUGUGAAAUAGCCAGGGGUGCCCGGUGGGCGCUCUGCCCUCAGCCUGGCAGAGAUCUCCCCAUUUUCAGGCCCAGCUCCCACAUGCCACAUCCUGGGGAAGCUCAUCCCCUCCCCCGUGCCCUGGCCGAUCCCACUUCUGACAGCGUCUAUAGCAGCGGCACCCAGGGGGACCGGGCUGAGCCACGGCCACGUCCUGUGGAGACCAAGGUCCUGAAGGAGGCUCGGGGGCGGAAGGGCUUACCUGGUGGCAGGUGAGCACCAGGGCAGUCCACACGAAGAUCCCCGAGACGCCUCGGGCCAGUGCGGAGGUGAGGAAGAGCCAGGGGGCCCCCUGGGAGCUGUUCCCCAUGUGGUCCAUCUGCGGCCCAGCUGGCACAGCCGGUGGGGGGCUGGGCUGCGGCCAGUUCGCUGACACCAGGGGGACGCCGGCUGUCUCCAGGAUCCCUGAGACAUUACUCAUCUGCAGAGGGAGGGAGGACACACACCGGGAGGAGUGAGGGCAAAGGUACUGGCUCCCGGCAGCAGGAAGCAGCGGGGGAGGGAGGAGACAGUGAGACGGGAGCUGAGGCUGAGCCACCCACCAGGCCGCACCCCCCACACGGACACCAGCGCCAGGCCCGGCUCCCUCCCUGCUCCGAGCUCAGCCAUCGAAGCUCACCCAUCAACCACCUGCGACCUGAGGGUCCCACCUCAAUUCCCCCUUGUAAAACCAGCUUCCAACUCCGAGUCUCAGGCUUGCAGGGAGCCUGCUUCUUAGGGGACAAAGACCGUCUUCCAGUGGGGCAGAAGAGGGGGAACCCCUGCCGCCCUGCCUGCCCGGGAGGGCUGGGGAGCGGGCGCAGACCAGCACUGCCUGCCCCGGCAGGAGGGGGUGUGCAGCCACCCUCAUGGGAGGAGCCGGCCCUCACUGGCUCUGGGACCUGUCCACCCACCUGGGAGCCCGGCUUUGCUGGGGUUCUUGGCAGCCCUGGGUGCCUGUUCCAUCUCCCACUAACCUGCUGGGGCCCUGAGUCCACCCUCUCCCACACUCGCAGCCCAGUCCAGCCUCCUCCUCUCCCUCUGGUCUGCGGUCACAGGGCCCAGCUCUACCUUUGCUGGCAGGAAGCACCUGGCCCAGUCCAGGGA
rnacentral:lncRNA from 1 species